CUCAAAAAGCAUCUCUGUGAGUUGACAGUUUCCAGACUGUUCUCUCUAGUAGCUGUCAACUACUUUGCUAUAUAGCUCUAGCUGUAAGACUAAAUUAGACCCAGGUGCAGACUAUAAAGAACAAUGCAUCAUCUCUGCCUAGUUGUAGUCAGUUCUCCUACACAAGAACAGAGAAGACAGCUGAGAUGAAAUCCUGGCUUCAUCUGAAGUUCGUAGGAAAUCUCCCAUGGAAUGCAGCAAGGCCUGAGUUUUACCCAAAUGGUCUGGCUGAACUACAGUAAUAGAACAUUGCAUUUACAGCCAAGGUGAAGUUGUUCAUCAGUUGCCCAAGGAACCAGAACCCAUAUUGCUACAUCAGUCAUGGAAAGGAAGAAAACCUAAGAAUUGAGUCCAUCUGAAGUUGUAUUCAAGAUGUGGAUGUGACGUACAGCAAAACAUAAUGGAUGGAUGCUAGACAUAGGCAAAGAAAGAACACAAAAUAACAAGAUUGGAUUGACCAUUAUUUAUCAGAAAGUUGUCUGGUAUGAUGCCUCUGCUGCCUUUCAUGUCUCUCUAAUUUUCUUCUUUCUUGAACAAAUAAAAAUGGGUA